ACGGGAAUUGCCUUAGUAACGGCGAGUGAAGCGGCAAAAGCUCAAAUUUGAAAUCUGGUACCUUCGGUGCCCGAGUUGUAAUUUGGAGAGGGCAACUUUGGGGCCGUUCCUUGUCUAUGUUCCUUGGAACAGGACGUCAUAGAGGGUGAGAAUCCCGUGUGGCGAGGAGUGCGGUUCUUUGUAAAGUGCCUUCGAAGAGUCGAGUUGUUUGGGAAUGCAGCUCUAAGUGGGUGGUAAAUUCCAUCUAAAGCUAAAUAUUGGCGAGAGACCGAUAGCGAACAAGUACAGUGAUGGAAAGAUGAAAAGAACUUUGAAAAGAGAGUGAAAAAGUACGUGAAAUUGUUGAAAGGGAAGGGCAUUUGAUCAGACAUGGUGUUUUGUGCCCUCUGCUCCUUGUGGGUAGGGGAAUCUCGCAUUUCACUGGGCCAGCAUCAGUUUUGGUGGCAGGAUAAAUCCAUAGGAAUGUAGCUUGCCUCGGUAAGUAUUAUAGCCUGUGGGAAUACUGCCAGCUGGGACUGAGGACUGCGACGUAAGUCAAGGAUGCUGGCAUAAUGGUUAUAUGCCGCCCGUCUUGAAACACGGACCAA
rnacentral:rRNA from 1 species